CUAGUUGGUAAGGUAAUGGCUUACCAAGGCGAUGAUCCAUAGCCGAUUUGAGAACUGAUCGCCCACAUGGGAUUGGACCCGGCCCAUAUUCCUACGGGAGGCAGCAGUAGGGAUCUUCCACAAUGGGCGAAAGCCUGAUGGAGCAACGCCGCGUGUGUGAUGAAGGGUUUCGGCUCGUAAAACACUGUUGUAAGAGAAGAAUGCCAUUGAGAGUAACUGUUCAAUGUGUGACGGUAUCUUACCAGAAAGGAACGGCUAAAUACGUGCCAGCAGCCGCGGUAAUACGUAUGUUCCAAGCGUUAUCCGGAUUUAUUGGGCGUAAAGCGAGCGCAGACGGUUAUUUAAGUCUGAAGUGAAAGCCCUCAGCUCAACUGAGGAAUUGCUUUGGAAACUGGAUGACUUGAGUGCAGUAGAGGAAAGUGGAACUCCAUGUGUAGCGGUGAAAUGCGUAGAUAUAUGGAAGAACACCAGUGGCGAAGGCGGCUUUCUGGACUGUAACUGACGUUGAGGCUCGAAAGUGUGGGUAGCAAACAGGAUUAGAUACCCUGGUAGUCCACACCGUAAACGAUGAGUGCUAGGUGUUUGAGGGUUUCCGCCCUUAAGUGCCGCAGCUAACGCAUUAAGCACUCCGCCUGGGGAGUACGACCGACAGGUUGAAACUC
rnacentral:rRNA from 1 species